UGUCUAAACGACUCUCGGCAACGGAUAUCUCGGCUCUCGCAUUGAUGAAGAACGUAGCGAAAUGCGAUACUUGGUGUGAAUUGCAGAAUCCCGUGAACCAUCGAGUCUUUGAACGCAAGUUGCGCCCGAAGCCAUUAGGCCGAGGGCACGCCUGCCUGGGCGUCACACGUCGUUGCCCC
rnacentral:rRNA from 1 species